UACAGAGGUCCCAAGCGUUGUUCGGAUUCAUUGGGCGUAAAGGGUGCGUAGGUGGCGCCGUAAGUCGGGUGUGAAAUUUCGGAGCUUAACUCCGGAACUGCAUUCGAUACUGCGGUGCUUGAGGACUGGAGAGGAGACUGGAAUUCAUGGUGUAGCAGUGAAAUGCGUAGAGAUCAUGAGGAAGACCAGUGGCGAAGGCGGGUCUCUGGACAGUUCCUGACACUGAUGCACGAAGGCCAGGGGAGCAAACGGG
rnacentral:rRNA from 1 species